GUGGAGCAUGUGGUUUAAUUCGAAGCAACGCGAAGAACCUUACCAGGUCUUGACAUCCUUUGACCACUCUAGAGAUAGAGCUUCCCCUUCGGGGGCAAAGUGACAGGUGGUGCAUGGUUGUCGUCAGCUCGUGUCGUGAGAUGUUGGGUUAAGUCCCGCAACGAGCGCAACCCUUAUUGUUAGUUGCCAUCAUUUAGUUGGGCACUCUAGCGAGACUGCCGGUGACAAACCGGAGGAAGGUGGGGAUGACGUCAAAUCAUCAUGCCCCUUAUGACCUGGGCUACACACGUGCUACAAUGGGAAGUACAACGAGUUGCGAAGUCGCGAGGCUAAGCUAAUCUCUUAAAGCUUCUCUCAGUUCGGAUUGUAGGCUGCAACUCGCCUACAUGAAGCCGGAAUCGCUAGUAAUCGCGGAUCAGCACGCCGCGGUGAAUACGUUCCCGGGCCUUGUACACACCGCCCGUCACACCACGAGAGUUUGUAACACCCGAAGUCGGUGAGGUAACCUUUUUGGAGCCAGCCGCCUAAGGUGGGAUAGAUGAUUGGGGUGAAGUCGUAACAAGGUAGCCGUAUCGGAAGGUG
rnacentral:rRNA from 1 species